rnacentral:rRNA from 1 species
GAUGAACGCUAGCUACAGGCUUAACACAUGCAAGUCGAGGGGCAGCACAGUGUAGCAAUACAUGGGUGGCGACCGGCGCACGGGUGCGUAACGCGUAUCCAACCUUCCCGUUACUCUUGGAUAGCCUUCCGAAAGGGAGAUUAAUACAAGAUGGUAUUCAAAUUCCGCAUGUUAUUUGAAUUAAAGAUUUAUCGGUAACGGAUGGGGAUGCGUUGUAUUAGCUAGUUGGUGGGGUAAUGGCUCACCAAGGCGACGAUACAUAGGGGGACCUGAGAGGUUAACCCCCCACAUUGGUACUGAGACACGGACCAAACUCCUACGGGAGGCAGCAGUGAGGAAUAUUGGUCAAUGGACGCAAGUCUGAACCAGCCAUGCCGCGUGCAGGAUGACGGCUCUAUGAGUUGAAACUGCUUUUGAUGAGGGUAAAAUUGGGUACNCGUACCCAAUGAAAGUAUCAUACGAAUAAGGAUCGGCUAACUCCGUGCCAGCAGCC